rnacentral:rRNA from 1 species
AUGGCCGCGCCCCCGGCCACCACACGGACUUUCCAUCGGUUGUCACCGGCUGAGCAGCAGGAGCGUCGCCGUCAGGGACUCUACUUCAACUGCGAUGAGCCCUACACACCGACCCAUGUUUGCCCCCGCCUAUUUUACUUGGAGCUGGUCGACUACACCGAGGUGGACGACUCGACCGACGCGACACCACCACCCGAGGCGGCCGCGGACACGCCCGCGGAUCCCACGGCGACGGCGUGUGUUGUCUCCCUCCACGCCCUCGCCGGCAUCCGUGGCGAGCGGACCAUGCUGCUGCCGGUGAUGAUCCAUGACGAGCGGCUGGUGGCCCUGCUGGAUACUGGCUCCACCCAUAACUUCUUGCCCGAGGCGACCAUGCGUCGGCUAGCCCUUCCGACGACGGGCGGGGAGCGCCUGCGGAUCACGGUGGCGAACGGUGAUCGCCUCCGGUGUCAUGGGCUCGCCCGCGACGUUCCCAUCUCCAUUGGUGGCGAACACCUCUCCAUUACCUGUGCAGGGAUCGACCUCGGCUGCUUCGACUUCAUCCUCGGGGUAGAUUUUCUCCGGACCCUCGGUCCCAUCCUAUGGGACUUCGACGCGCUCACGAUGACGUUCUGGUGGCUGGGCCGCCGCGUCCGGUGGGACGGCCUUGGGGGCGCUGCGCCAGCCGUGCCACAUCUCCAGCUGAUCGCCGUGUCCUCGGAGGCCGAGCAACCCCUGCUGGAUUCCCUUCUGCAGCAGCACAGCGACCUCUUCGACGAGCCACGGGGUCUUCCGCCCGCCCGGGUGUACGACCAUCAUAUUCACCUCAUGCCGGGUACCCCUCCCGUGGCGGUUCGGCCCUACCGCUACCCUCAGCUGCAGAAGGAUGAGUUGGAGCGCCAGUGUGCCCUUAUGCUCGCCGCGGGCAUCAUCCGGAUCUCCACGUCACCCUUCACCGCCCCGGUGCUGCUCGUCCGCAAGUCGGACGACACUUGGCGUUUCUGCAUCGACUACCGCGCCCUGAACGCGCUCACGCUCAAGGACAAGUUCCCUAUACCGGUGGUCGACGAGCUCUUGGAUGAGCUCCAUGGGGCGCGCUUCUUCACCAAGCUCGAUCUCCGGUCGGGCUAUCAUCAGGUGCGUAUGCAUCCCGACGACAUCGCUAAGACGGCGUUUCUUACCCACCAUGGCCACUUUGAGUUCUUGGUGAUGCCCUUCGGCCUCGCCAACGCCCCAGCGACUUUCCAGGCCCUGAUGAACGACGUCCUCCGGCCCUACUUACGGCGGUUUGUGCUUGUUUUCUUUGAUGACAUUCUUAUCUAUAGCGCCACCUGGGCUGAGCACCUCCAGCACGUCACCAUCGUCUUCAACGAGCUUCGGGCACACCACCUCCACCUUAAGCGCUCGAAGUGCUCGUUCGGGACACCUACCGUCGCCUACCUCGGCCAUGUCAUCUCUGCCGACGGGGUGGCUAUGGACGCCGACAAGGUGGCGGCCGUCUCCGCAUGGCCGACACCUCGCUCGCCGCGGGCUCUCCGCGGGUUCCUCGGCCUCGCCGGCUACUACCGAAAAUUUAUCCGGGAGUUCGGGCUCAUCGCGGCGCCCCUCACGCGGUUGCUUCGCCGCGACGCUUUCGCUUGGGACGACGAGGCGACGACGGCAUUCGAGGCCCUCAAGGGGGCCCUCACGACGGGCCCCGUCCUCCAGAUGCCCGACUUUGACCGCCCGUUCGUGGUGGACUGUGACGCCUCGGGCGCUGGUUUCGGCGCCGUGCUUCAUCAGGGCGAUGGACCCCUCGCCUUCUUCAGCCGGCCUUUCGCUCCUCGCCAUCUCAAGCUGGCGGCAUACGAGCGGGAGCUCAUUGGCCUUGUGCAGGCUGUUCGUCAUUGGCGGCUGUACUUGUGGGGACGGUCCUUCCACAUUCGCACGGACCACUACAGCCUGAAGUUCUUGCUGGACCAACGACUGUCGACCGUGCCACAGCACCAGUGGAUCAGCAAGCUCUUCGGCUUCGACUUCUCCGUCGAGUAUCGGCCGGGUCGCCUUAACACCGUGGCCGAUGCGCUGUCCCGUCGCGACUCCGACAUCGCUCCCUUCGUCAACGAGUUUGCCGGGGCGGUCCUGUGCAUCCGCUCCGGGCCGACGUUCGGUCUCUUCGCCGACAUCCGCCGCGCAACUGCGACGGCUGACGACGCCGUCCUUCUUUGGCAGCAGCUCACGUCCGGUGACCUGGAGGAGCCUUGGCGCUUCUCUGACGGACUGCUUCUCCAUGGGCGCCGGAUCUUUGUUCCGGCGCAUGAUGAUCUCCGUCACUAG